ACGGUAUAUAAACCGAACCGAACCAAAGUAAAUAUAGAUUUAGAAUGGUAGUUAUAUUUUACUAACCGAAAUACCGAAAACCAAAAAAAACCGAACCUAAACCGAACCGAUAUCCUGAUUGAACACCCCUAGCAAGCACUCACAAUAAUUAAAUAUCUACCAAACAAUCAUAGAUGGUUUACUUCGGUUUGUGUUUAUUGAUUAGUAGUGGUUUAAUAUUCUUAACCACUGCAUCUCAAAAUAAUUUUUGUAUAUCACUCCUUCGUCCUUAUCGUUAUAGCUUAAUGAAAACAUGUACGUGCAUGAAUUACAUUCUAAAAUCAUGUGCUCCAAGUUUAUGUAAUUGAAACAGACCAAACUCA
rnacentral:lncRNA from 1 species